UGUCCCAUGGCUUAGUUGGUUACGGCGUCCGACUGUUAUAUCUCUCAUCGGAAGAUCGAGAGUUCAAGUCUCUCUGGGACAG